rnacentral:lncRNA from 1 species
ACCAGCCUCAGCAGGUGAUCCAAGGCUCCCGUGCCCCGUAAAUUGAUGCUGCGAAGAUGCAAGCAGAGGCCUUGAUACCCCACAGCUUUCACAGACAGAGCAAAUGAGGCUUCACUGUCACAGGGAAAGCCAGGGGUGACUCGGCAGCGUAUGUGCUGUGAGCAGGCUUCUCCUCAGCCACGUGAACAAUGCGGUUGUUAGGGAAUAAUACAGGAGGCUGCUCCUGCACACUUGGGCAGCACUCCAAACCCCCAGCACCUCCUCCGACAAAACAGAAACAUCGCCCUCAUUCUCUGCUGCUGAAUGGAGUCUAGCUUCUGAAAAUGGACAGUUGCACCCACCUGCCGCCGAGGGCUCCCUCUCAAUCACGUCGCCCUCUUCUGUCUGAGGCACUGAGAACAUUCUCUCCGUUCCCACUGCCUUAAGGACAGGCUCUCCUGCAAGUGCCGCUGCCAUUCUCUGCUCACAAGAGCUCGCGCAUCGCCUCUCUGAGCAUGGAUGGCACCACCAAACACCUGCAACUUGCAGAACAGACAGCCCCAAAUGUGAAGGCUUUCUAGGCCCACGCUGCUGGAAGGGGAAGAGAGAGAGCCCCAGAGAAGGAUGUGAUCUAUCUAAAGUCAUGUGGUCAGAAGAAAGGCAAAGUCAGGAAAUGAACAUGCCUUUGAGUCUGAAUGUAGCACAGAAACUCCCAUCAAUGGUUUCAUGCUUAUGUUGUGCCUUGAAACAGUUCCUGAGCAGCCCACCUGGAUUGCUGCAGAGAAAAAGCAAGGACCUUGGGACCCAGUGUGUGUUCUACAUGAAGUAGGCAUCCAGUAAGUGCUCGUGCAUGAAUUUAUGGGUUUCCAUUACCAUUGCCUGGUGGACCAGGAGCUCUUUGAGGGCCAAGUCUGUGCCUGAUUCUUCUUUGUCUCUCUAGGGCCUGGCACAGGAGCCUGGCAUAAAU